rnacentral:lncRNA from 1 species
GUUAAUUCCAGCUGGGCAAUAAAACAGGAAAUAAAAUGUAAACCAAAAUAAUAACAAGAUAUUUUUUCACCUGAGAAAAACAGUGAAUUCCUUAGAACAAUUCUUGUUAUUCCUUUUGCUUCUGGUUAUCCCUAACUUCACACAUGACCAGAAGGCUAAAUCUUGACUUGUCAGUGCACUGUGUGAGCCAGGUAGACCAUGAAACAGUGGUUUUGUAACCAGUUGAAACAUUCACAAACAAAGACGUCAAGUAUCAGUGAUGACAAUUCCCAGAAAGCUGAUGCAAUGGCUGUCUUAAGUUAGGCCAAGAAACUUUAGUGUGAGUGGGAGAGGAUUAUCAGAGACCUGGUACUACCAGGGAUGUGAGGAAAAUUGGCAACUGAGCAAGAAUGUUCAGUAGCUGUGAAUGUAAAGAACAGUUUAUUAUGGCAGAAUUAUAAUUGCAAUGAUUUUUCAAAUGUGAAUAGCAAAACAACCACCUGUUACAUCGUAUUGAUUUAAAUCACAAAAGCUAUUGAAUUUUCCAUAAGCAGCUGGAUGUUCCGCUGUCAUGUAUUUUCUAAAACAGAAAGUAAAACAAAACUGUAAGAGACUCAUAGAGAACGAAACUGUGAGAGAAACAGUGGGGAAAGAAAGGCCUGGCAUUCCCAUUAUCUCUUGGGUAGAUUUGUCUUUGCUGGAUAAUUGCACUUUGGAUUGAUUUGCUGCCUCUGGCAGUUUGUUUGGAAGAUAACUUUUAUUUGUCCCUUCUCCUGAUCCUCUUCCACCCUAUUAUUUAAAACCUAAUUAUCUUAUGAAAUACUAAUUGCCAAGCUGUGCAACUUAAUUUUCCAAACUGCAGUCUCCAGUAUUUCUACUUGCCAUUUUUGACCAAGGAAUGCUUGCAGGGAGAAGGUUUACUUUUAUGAAAAGUUCUCCAGCUCAACACAGGAAGCAGCUCAGUCACACAAUAAGAUCCCACCUUUUUACCUGAAAUGCAUAAAUGCAUUUUGCAUCCUUUUUUUUUUUUUUUUUUUUUUUUCUUCUGCCAGGUUUUGAAAGAACAGGGAACCUGCUGUCAGAUGAUAGACUGGGAAGCAGAGACAGCUCCAAAAUCAGUGUGUGAAGUUUCUAGGCCCUGUUUGAAGGCAGCAGAUGGAGCUGCCUGCCCUGAUGGUAAACAGCAACUGCCUGGAACCAACUCCACAGUAAGUCCCUUUGCAGUUAAAAGGAAAAUAACUUUUAUCCCAGGAAAAAAAAAAAAAUGUCAGCAGUCAGCCGACAUAGGAUUACUGAAACUCUAACAAUGAGAAAUCAAGGGCAAGCAAGUUGAUAGGGUGAGUGCUCUCAACACAGGUCUGAUGCUGUGUUCCUGUGCUUAUGGGCAAAGGGUGAAACACUGUCUCUUCCGAAAGCCUUAUCCAGCAGCAGUUAUUCACAUGUGUCUUUGCAGGGUGUGUUCUCAGAGACUAGAAGGAUAGAAAGACAAAGUGCAGGAUGAAUAAUUCAGAAAGGAGACCGCUCUCUUACUGGGGUAAAGCAAUUUUAAGGAGAGCUUUGCCAGUUUACAGACACUUAAAUUUCACCCAGACUAUUAUGUUAAUUUUUGUUAUAUUAUAUUGCCAUUGGCACUAUUUUGCAGUCUACGGGGUUAUUCUUGUUUAUCUUUGGUUUAAACCUAUGCAGCUCUGUAAACUUAAUUUGAGUUGUUUUACACUGUUUAAAUUAAGUUAGCAUCCUGCAUUUGCUGUCUCUGGCCUGCUCAGUUAUCAUAUUUCCUCCUUUAUGAGUCUCUGACUAAUGUAUUUACAGCAACAGUACCUACACGCCUGGUGGUAGAGCCCAGCAUUGCGUUAAUCUGAGGGAGUGGGGAAGGUGACAGCCAUGCAAAGUGCAGGAGUGAAAAACACAUUAAAAAAAAGAAAGAAAGAAAAAAAAAAAACAAACAGCUUAUGGCUUUUGGGGGAUGCUUCGGUAUAACAGAUCAAAAGCUUUCACAUUAAAAAUGCAAUUGUAAGGGAAGAGACUGAAAAGCUAAUAACCUAGAGUUCCUCAUGUCUCUGCUCUGCCCCACUCUACACCAGACCUACAGAAUGCAGGAUGGUCUUCCAAACAGCCCUGCUUUCAAGCUUGGAUAGAAACUGGAGAUCUGAACUGCUCUGUGGACAGUGAGAAAUACCGCAGGCUAAGUUUCUCCUUUUCUAGUGGGACAUGGCAGUUUGUCACUACUAAAACAUUUCUUAGGAAACCUCAGUGUUAACUGAUUUACCAAGGAGAUUUUUGUGUUUGUCUUGAAAGUCAUUU